rnacentral:rRNA from 1 species
CCUACGGGCGGCAGCAGUGGGGAAUAUUGGACAAUGGGCGAAAGCCUGAUCCAGCCAUGCCGCGUGUGUGAAGAAGGCCUUCGGGUUGUAAAGCACUUUCAGUGGGGAAGAAAGCCUUGGGGCUAAUACCCUCGAGGAAGGACAUCACCCACAGAAGAAGCACCGGCUAACUCCGUGCCAGCAGCCGCGGUAAUACGGAGGGUGCGAGCGUUAAUCGGAAUUACUGGGCGUAAAGCGCGCGUAGGCGGUCUGAUAAGCCGGUUGUGAAAGCCCCGGGCUCAACCUGGGAACGGCAUCCGGAACUGUCAGGCUAGAGUGCAGGAGAGGAAGGUAGAAUUCCCGGUGUAGCGGUGAAAUGCGUAGAGAUCGGGAGGAAUACCAGUGGCGAAGGCGGCCUUCUGGACUGAAACUGACGCUGAGGUGCGAAAGCGUGGGUAGCAAACAGGAUGAGAUACCCUAGUAGU